AUUGAACGCUGGCGGCAGGCCUAACACAUGCAAGUCGAGCGGAGCGGCGGACGGGUGAGUCAUGCCUAGGAAUCUGCCUGGUAGUGGGGGAUAACGUCCGGAAACGGGCGCUAAUACCGCAUACUAUCAGAUGAGCCUAGGUCGGAUGAGCUAGUUGGUGGGGUAAAGUCCUACCAAGGUGACGGUCCGUAACUGGUCUGCGAGGAUGUGCAGGCACACUGGAACGGAGACACGGUCCAGACUCCUACGGGAGGGAGCAGUGGGGAAUAGUGGACAACGGGCGAAAGCCUGAUCCAGCCCUGCCGCGUGUGUGAAGAAGUUCGUCGGAUUGUAAAGCACUUUAAGUUGGGAGGCGUUACCAACAGAAUAAGCACCGGCUAACUUCGUGCCAGCCGCCGCGGUAAUAC
rnacentral:rRNA from 1 species